rnacentral:rRNA from 1 species
AUGAACGCUAGCGGCAGGCUUAACACAUGCAAGUCGAGGGGCAGCACGAGGUAGCAAUACUUUGGUGGCGACCGGCGCACGGGUGCGUAACGCGUAUGCAACCUACCUUUAACAGGGGCAUAACACUGAGAAAUUGGUACUAAUUCCCCAUAACAUUCGAGAAGGCAUCUUCUUGGGUUAAAAACUCCGGUGGUUAAAGAUGGGCAUGCGUUGUAUUAGCUAGUUGGUGAGGUAACGGCUCACCAAGGCAACGAUACAUAGGGGGACUGAGAGGUUAACCCCCCACAUUGGUACUGAGACACGGACCAAACUCCUGCGGGAGGCAGCAGUGAGGAAUAUUGGUCAAUGGACGCAAGUCUGAACCAGCCAUGCCGCGUGCAGGAAGACGGCUCUAUGAGUUGUAAACUGCUUUUGUACUAGGGUAAACGCUUCUACGUGUAGGAGCCUGAAAGUAUAGUACGAAUAAGGAUCGGCUAACUCCGUGCCAGCAGCCGCGGUAAUACGGAGGAUCCAAGCGUUAUCCGGAUUUAUUGGGUUUAAAGGGUGCGUAGGCGGUUUGAUAAGUUAGAGGUGAAAUACCGGGGCUCAACUCCGGAACUGCCUCUAAUACUGUUGAACUAGAGAGUAGUUGCGGUAGGCGGAAUGUAUGGUGUAGCGGUGAAAUGCUUAGAGAUCAUACAGAACACCGAUUGCGAAGGCAGCUUACCAAACUAUAUCUGACGUUGAGGCACGAAAGCGUGGGGAGCAAACAGGAUUAGAUACCCUGGUAGUCCACGCAGUAAACGAUGAUAACUCGUUGUCGGCGAUACACAGUCGGUGACUAAGCGAAAGCGAUAAGUUAUCCACCUGGGGAGUACGUUCGCAAGAAUGAAACUCAAAGGAAUUGACGGGGGCCCGCACAAGCGGAGGAACAUGUGGUUUAAUUCGAUGAUACGCGAGGAACCUUACCCGGGCUUGAAUUGCAACUGAAUGAUGUGGAGACAUGUCAGCCGCAAGGCAGUUGUGAAGGUGCUGCAUGGUUGUCGUCAGCUCGUGCCGUGAGGUGUCGGGUUAAGUCCCAUAACGAGCGCAACCCCUACCGUUAGUUGCCAUCAGGUCAAGCUGGGCACUCUGGCGGGACUGCCGGUGUAAGCCGAGAGGAAGGUGGGGAUGACGUCAAAUCAGCACGGCCCUUACGUCCGGGGCUACACACGUGUUACAAUGGUAGGUACAGAGGGCCGCUACCCCGUGAGGGGAUGCCAAUCUCGAAAGCCUAUCUCAGUUCGGAUCGGAGGCUGAAACCCGCCUCCGUGAAGUUGGAUUCGCUAGUAAUCGCGCAUCAGCCAUGGCGCGGUGAAUACGUUCCCGGGCCUUGUACACACCGCCCGUCAAGCCAUGGAAGCUGGGGGUGCCUGAAGUUCGUGACCGCAAGGAGCGACCUAGGGCAAAACCGGUGACUGGGGCU